rnacentral:rRNA from 1 species
GGGAUGAGGUGUGGGUAGCGGAGAAAUUCCAAUCGAACUUGGAGAUAGCUGGUUCUCUCCGAAAUAGCUUUAGGGCUAGCCUCGAGGUAAAGAGUCAUGGAGGUAGAGCACUGUUUGGACUAGGGGCCCUUCUCGGGUUACCGAAUUCAGAUAAACUCCGAAUGCCAUGUACUUAUACUCGGGAGUCAGACUGCGAGUGAUAAGAUCCGUAGUCGAAAGGGAAACAGCCCAGACCACCAGUUAAGGUCCCCAAAUAUAUGUUAAGUGGAAAAGGAUGUGGGGUUGCUUAGACAACCAGGAUGUUGGCUUAGAAGCAGCCACCAUUGAAAGAGUGCGUAAUAGCUCACUGGUCGAGUGACCCCGCGCCGAAAAUGUACCGGGGCUAAACAUAUUACCGAAACUGUGGAUGAACCUCUUUAGAGGUUCGUGGUAGGAGAGCGUUCUAAGGGCGGUGAAGUCAGACCGGAAGGACUGGUGGAGCGCUUAGAAGUGAGAAUGCCGGUAUGAGUAGCGAAAGAAGGGUGAGAAUCCCUUCCACCGAAUAUCUAAGGUUUCCUGAGGAAGGCUCGUCCGCUCAGGGUUAGUCGGGACCUAAGCCGAGGCCGAUAGGCGUAGGCGAUGGACAACAGGUAGAGAUUCCUGUACCAGUGCUAAUUGUUUAACCGAUGGGGUGACACAGAAGGAUAGGGAAUCGCACGAAUGGAAAUGUGCGUCCAAGCAGUGAGUGUGAGAAGUAGGCAAAUCCGCUUCUCGCGAAGCAUGAGCUGUGAUGGGGAAGGAAAUUAAGUACGGAAGUUCCUGAUUUCACGCUGUCAAGAAAAGCCUCUAGGAAGAGUAGUACUGCCCGUACCGCAAACCGACACAGGUAGAUGAGGAGAGAAUCCUAAGGUGAGCGAGAGAACUCUCGUUAAGGAACUCGGCAAAAUGACCCCGUAACUUCGGGAGAAGGGGUGCUCUAUUAGGGUGCAAGCCCGAGAGAGCCGCAGUGAAUAGGCCCAGGCGACUGUUUAGCAAAAACACAGGUCUCUGCAAAACCGUAAGGUGACGUAUAGGGGCUGACGCCUGCCCGGUGCUGGAAGGUUAAGAGGAGUGCUUAGCUUCGGCGAAGGUACGAAUUGAAGCCCCAGCAAACGGCGGCCGUAACUAUAACGGUCCUAAGGUAGCGAAAUUCCUUGUCGGGUAAGUUCCGACCCGCACGAAAGGCG